CCUACGGGAGGCAGCAGUGGGGAAUAUUGCACAAUGGGCGAAACCCUGAUGCAGCGACGCCGCGUGAGUGAAGAAGGACUUCGGGUUGUAAAGCUCUAUCAGCAGGGAAGAAAAUGACGUUACCUGAUUAAGAAGCCCCGGCUAACUACGGCCAAGCAACCGCGGUAAUACGUCGGGGGCAAGCGUUAUCCGGAAUUACUGGGGGUAAGGGGAACGUAAACGGCUGGACAAGUCAGGAGGGAAAUGCCCGGGCUUAACCCGGGAACUGCUUUUGAAACUGGGCAGCUAGAGUGCAGGAGAGGGAAGUGGAAUGCCUGGUGUAGCGGUGAAAUGCGUAGAGAUUAGGAGGAACACCAGUGGCGAAGGCGGCUGACUGGA
rnacentral:rRNA from 1 species